GAUGAACGCUGGCGGCGUGCCUAAUACAUGCAAGUCGAGCGAACGGACGAGAAGCUUGCUUCUCUGAUGUUAGCGGCGGACGGGUGAGUAACACGUGGAUAACCUACCUAUAAGACUGGGAUAACUUCGGGAAACCGGAGCUAAUACCGGAUAAUAUUUUGAACCGCAUGGUUCAAAAGUGAAAGACGGUCUUGCUGUCACUUAUAGAUGGAUCCGCGCUGCAUUAGCUAGUUGGUAAGGUAACGGCUUACCAAGGCAACGAUGCAUAGCCGACCUGAGAGGGUGAUCGGCCACACUGGAACUGAGACACGGCCCAGCCUCCUACGGGAGGCAGCAGUAGGGAAUCUUCCGCAAUGGGCGAAAGCCUGACGGAGCAACGCCGCGUGAGUGAUGAAGGUCUUCGGAUCGUAAAACUCUGUUAUUAGGGAAGAACAUAUGUGUAAGUAACUGUGCACAUCUUGACGGUACCUAAUCAGAAAGCCACGGCUAACUACGUG
rnacentral:rRNA from 1 species